AUGUAUGCUAAUUUUGGUGGUCCUGUUUCGUUUUGUCAGGUACUCAUCUUGUGUAUUGCUCUGUAUAUCUUAUUUCUUUGGCUUCCUUUGGACCUACGUAGUGUUGCGUCGUCAGUGAACAGAGUUAGCCUAUUCGCAAAAAGAAAAAGAAAAAGAAAGAAAAAGCGAACAGAGUUAGUCCAGUUUUCUUAUAUUUAUUUUGCAGGUGCCUCGAUAACCAACUUUCUUUUUUUGAACCGGAACACCUUGUAUUCCUCUGUAUCUUAUUUCUUUGGCUUCCUUUGGACUUAUGUAGUAGUGUUGGACUGUUGUAUCGUUUAG
rnacentral:rRNA from 1 species